CUGAUUUUUUUUCAGCUAUGUUGGUGUUGAUUCCCUGGUCCUCCAGAAGUCCCACUCUGCAUUCUAAUUGCUCGAGUCUGCUCCUCUGACUUCCUAUUGCGUUGUCUAAUUCUGUAAUUUUAUUGUUAAUCUUUUGGAUUUCUACAUGCUGUCUCUCUAUGGAUUCUUGCAACUUUUUAAUUUUUCCACUAUGUUCUUGAGUAAUCUUUUUGAGUUGUUCAACAGUUUUAUCAGUGUGUUCCUUGGCUUUUUCUGCAGUUUGCCUUAUUUCGUUUGUGAUGUCUUGAAGCACUCUGUAAAUUAGUUUUUUGUAUUCUGUAUCUGAUAAUUCCAGGAUUGUAUCUUCAUUUGGGAAAGAUUUUGAUUCUUUUGUUUGGGGAAGCUGUCAUGGUCUGCUUCUUUAUGUGGUUUGAUAUGGAGUGCUGUCUCCGAGCCAUCACUGGGGAACUAGUUUUUCCAGAAAAUCCGCUAAAAAAAAAUGGAGUCAGAUCCCUAUCAGAGUUCUCCCUCUGGCUCAGGGUAUUCGGAUGUUAAUGAAGCUGCCUGGGCAGGGUGGGGGAGGGAUCAGAGAGAUUGGAGAGUAGCACCCCAGAAUAUAGCCAGGGUUGCUUGUCUUGCUUGGAAUGACUAUUAUAUCUGAGAUUCCCGCGGGGCGCGUUGCCUAUGUGUGCUGGCUGUGUGGAGAUUGCCCCCGGCGGGUCUGGCCCACUGGAGUCACGGUUAGAUCCUCUGCUGCCAGCCCCACGCCCAACGUUAAGGUUCCCGUGCUGGGACGGUGCACUCUUGACUCCAAAAUCAGCCGCUGCUUCCCGGGCACUUCUUGUCCUGCCAGCCUUGUCGCCGUGCCACCUCUGCGAACUGGCUGGUCCCCCUCCUGGGGUUAGUUCAGGUGAGUGGAGCAGCUCCCCGUGCUUGUGCCGUGACCGAGUGUCCCGGCUGGGACGCUGCUCUCCCCGCUCCAAGACCAUUCGCUGCCUCCCGGGGACUUCUCCCACCGGCUGCGUUGCCACGCCGCACGCGUGAACCGCCUGGGCCCCCUCCCGAGGUUAGUUCAGGGGGGUGGCGCAGCUUUCCUUGCUUAUGCCGUGCCUGCGCCCAGUCAAAAUUCCGGCGGGACGGUUCCCCAGCUGGGUCGCUGCUCUCCCCGCUCCAAGACCAGUCACUGCCUCCCGGGGACUUCUCCCACCGGCUGUGUUGCCACGCCGCCCGCGCGAACCAGCUGGGCCCCCUCCCAGGGUUAGGUCAGGGGCGUGGAGCAGCUCUCCGUGCUUAUGCCGUGCCUGCGCCCAGGCAAAAUCCCGGCGGAACGGUUCCCCGGCUGGGUCGCUGCUCUCCCCGCCUCAAGAUCUGUCACUGCCUCCCGGGGACUUCUCCCACUGGCUGCAUCGCCACACCACCCGCGCGAACUGUCUGGGCCCCCUCCUGGAGUGAGUUCGGGGGCUAGGGCUGGGCCCCUUGUUUAUGCCGUCUGCUCCCCUGGGCUGUGCCCCAAAUCGGGCGUCAAAGGUUACCUGACUGGUACGCUGACUCCAGGCUCUGAAAACAAUCGCUGCUUCCCCGUAUUUGUUUGUUCUCCGUCUCUAAAUCUGUGUUUGUUGUUCAGGGUUCGUAGAUUGUUAUGUAUGUGAUUGAUUCACUUGUUUUUCCGAGUCUUUGUUGCAAGAGGGAUCCGAGGUAGCGUCUAUCUAGUCCGCCAUCUUGGCCCCGCCUCUUGAGCAUUGUUAAAAAUUUAAUCUUAUUUUGUUUUUGUGAUUUCUCUACCUGAGUUGAUAUCAGGUUGUUCUAUUUUGUGACCUUGUGUUGUGUUGGUAUCUGAUAUUAUUGGUUUUCUGACCAAAGAAUUUCCUUUAGUAAUUCUUGUAGCUUUGGUUUGGUUUUUUGCAAAUUCUCUAAGCUUGUGUUUAUCUGUAAAUGUCUUAAUUUCACCUUCAUAUUUGAGAGAGUUUUGCUGGAUAUAUGAUUCUUGGCUGGCAGUUUUUCUCCUUCAGAGCUCUAUUUAUGUCAUCCCAUUACCUUCUUUCCUGAAUGGUUUCUGCUGAGUACUCUGAACUUAUUGAUUCUCCUUUGUAGGUGACUUUUCAUUUAUCCCUGGCUGCUUUUAAAAUUUUCUCUUUAUCUUCAGUUUUGGUGAGUUUGAUGAUAAUAUGUCUUGGUGACUUUCUUUUGGGAUCUAUCUUGUAUGGGGUUCGAUGAGUAUCUUGGAUAGAUAUCCUUUCGUCUUUCUGGAUGCCAGAGAAAUAUUCUGCCAACAGAUCUUCAACUAUUCUCUCUGUAUUUUCUAUUAUUCCUCCCUGUUCUGGAACUCCAAUCACACACAAGUUAUUCUUCUUGGUAGAGUCCCACAUGAUUCUUAAGGUUUCUUCAUUUUUUUAAAUUCUUUUAUCUGAUUUUUCUUCAACUAUGUUGAUUUCAAUUGCUUUAUUGUCCAACUCCCCCGCUCUGCAUUCCAAUUCCUCCAUUCUACUCCUCUGACUUCCUAUUGAGUUGUCUAAUUCUGUAAUUUUAUUGUUAGACUUUUGAAUUUCUGAAUGCUGCCUGUCUAUGGAUUCUUGCAGCUUAUUAAUUUUUUCACUAUAUUCUUAAAUAAUCUUUUUGAUUUCUUCAACAGCUUUAUCAGUGUGUUCCUUGGCUUUUUCUGGGUAUUGUCUUAUUUCAUUUCUGAGAUCAUCCCUGAUGUCUUGAAGCAUUCUGUAUAUUAGUUUUUUGUAUUCUACUUCUGGAAAUUCCAAGAAUGUAUCUUCAUUUGGCAAAGAUUUUGAUUCUUUCUUUUGGGGGUUUGUAGAAGCAAUCAUGGUCGGCUUCUUUAUGUGAUUUGAUAUCGACUUCUGUCUCCAAACCAUUUAUAAGUUAUUGUAAUGAUUUAUUUUAUGUUUGCUUACUGAGUCUUUUCUUCUUGUUUUGUUUUGUUUUAAUACACCCAGAUGGGUACUAGAGUGCUCUAACUUAAUUGUUGGAGCCUUUGAAUCACUUAUGUCCUUUUGCCAGCUGGUUUGAGCUGUUACCCAGUAUAUGAGCCUAUGAGUCCAUUCACUGUUUUUGAAUAGAAUCAGCUCAGGUGUAUUGAUAGUGGGUCACCUAGUGUGUGGUGUAGGCUCUCCCCUCCUAUCUUAGAGGAGUUGUGGUGAUGGCUGUAUGCACUGGUUUCUAGUAUCGGCAGGGGUCACAGUCCAAGGAGGGCAGGGUGCUGACAGCCUUCCCCCAAGUGGCAGUGAGGAAGGAGCAUCUAUGUUCUCUAGAGUGCUCUGGUGGGUGGGCUCUGUAGCUGUAUCUUAGGCACCCAAUGCCUGUACCUCUAAAAAUUGGUAAGUGUCACAAUCCUAAGACCCCUUUAGCAGUCGGUUAGGUGGUGUGGGUGGAGCCUCAGUCCUCUUCUGUGGAUCAGUGAGGUAUCUGUUUAAUAGGCAGAGUGGUAUCAGACCUCCAAAACUUGCUGUUCCACAGCUCAACUACAACAAUUACAGUCAGAUCUCGAAAAGAAUUGCUUUGCAUUAAAUAGCCGUGUAGGGGUGAAAGCCAAAGACGGUGGAAAUCUUAUGCCUGGAUGGUGCUGGUUCUGUUCUGCUAUUCCAGUUUAGAGAAAUCAGGAAAGGAUUUUUCACCUGAUGGUUAAUUGCUGUUUUUCCAGGCCAGGAAAAUGGGUUAGAAAAAAAAAAUCCCGCAAAGUACUUCAGUCUCUGCCCCAGGGAAUUCCUGUGUUAAUGAAGCCUGCUGGGGCAGGGAGGGGAGGCAUCGGAUACAUAGGAGAGAGUAAAAUAGAUAAACUCAACUUAUCUUGUUUGGUGUGGACCUUUUUAUCUGAGAUUCCAGAGGGGUGUGUAGCCUGUGUGUGCUGGCUGGGUCCCCGGGGAGAUUGCCCCAGGGGGUUAGGGCUGCAUCCCUGUUUGCCUUGUCUCAGGAAGCCAUGAUCAUCUCUACAGCUCUUGCCCCAAGGCUGCACAAGGGUUCAGGUUUGGGGCGUGGCUUGCCGGGCUCUGGAACUGGUCAGUGCCCCAGUGAGUGGAUUCUCACUCCCCUGAGGGCUCAGGGCUGGGGCACGGCUAGUCGGUCUCUGGGACUGCUUGCUGGUACAGCACAGGCGGCUUCAUGCUCCCUUGAGGGCUCAGGGCUGGGGGGCGGCACGCUAGUCUCCGGGACUGCUCACUGCUUCAGUGCAGGUGGCUUCACACUUUCCUGAGGGCUAAGAGCUGGGAAGCGGGUCCCAGUCUCCAGGACUACUUGCUCCUUCAGCACACACGGAUUCUCGCUCCCCUGAGGGCUCAAGGUUGGGGCGUGGCUCGCUGGUCUCCGGGACUGCUCACUCCUUCAGCACGUGGAUUCUCGCACCCCUGUCACUCAGGUCAAUUCCCUAGUUCUGAGUUUGAUGGUCAGGGUUUGUAGAUUGUCAUGUAUGUAAUGGAUUCAUUUGUUUUUCCAAGUCUUUGUUGCAAGAGGGGUCAGCAGGAGCUUCUCCCUAGUCAGCCAUCUUGGUCCUGCCUCUGUUGUAGUUUUCUUUGUAUAUAUCUUUUACAUCUCUGCUUAUACAUAUUCCUCAGUUGUUUAUCUUCUUGGGGGCUGUUGUAAAUGGUAUUGAUUUGGUGAUUUCCUCUUUGAAGUUCUCUUUGUGUCGAGGAAUGGAGCUGAUUUUUGUAUGUUUAUCUUGUAUACUGAUACUUUGCUGACAUCUUCUAUUAGUUCCAGUAGUUUUCCUGUGGAUUCUGUAGGUUUUCUGUGUAUAAGAUCUUAUCGUAUGCAAAUAGAGAUACUUUUACUUCUUCCUUACCAAUUCGAAUGCUCUCUAUUUCUUUUUCUUGCCUAAUUGCUCCGGCUAGGACCUUCAGCAAAAUGUUGAAUAAAAGUGGUGAUAAAGGGCAUCCUUGUCUGGUUCCCAUUCUCAAGGGCAAUGCUUUUUGUCAUCAUAUUUGAGAGAAAGUUUUGCUGGAUAUAUGAUUUUUGGUUGGCAGUUUUUUUCCUUCAAGGCUUUAUAUAUGUCAUCCCAUUGCCUUCUUGCCUGCAUGGUUUCUGCUGAGUAGUCCGAGCUUCUUCUUACUGACUCUCCUUUGUAGCUGACUUUUUGUGUAUUCCUAACUGCUCUAAAACCCUUUAUUUUUGGUUUUGGCAAGUUUGAUUAUAAUACAUCUUGGUGACUUUCUUUUAAGACCUACCUUAUGUGGGGUUGGAUGAGCAUCUUGGAUAGAUAUCUUCUCAUCUUUCUUGACAUCAGGGAAGUUUUCUGCCAACAAAUGUUCAACAGUUCUUUCUAUUUAUGUUAUGCCCCUCCCCGUUCUGGUACUCCAAUCAUUCGUAGGUUAUUCCUCUUGAUAGUGUCUCACAUAAUUCUUAGAGUUUCUUCAUUUUUUAAAAAAUUCUUUUUAUCUGAUUUUUCCUCAAAUAUGUCGGUUUAAAUGCUUUAUCUUCAAUCUCACUAAUUCUGACUUCCAUUGCCUCAAUUCUGCUCCUAUGACUUUCUAUCAAGUUGUCUAAUUCUGUAAUUUUACUGUGAAUCUUCUGAGUUUCUGAUUGCUGUCUCUCUAUGGAUUCUUGCAGCUUAUUAAAUUUUUCAUUAUGUUCUUGAAUAACCUCUUUAAUUUCUUCAACUACUUUAUCUGUGUGUUCCUUGGCUUGUUCCGCGUAUUGCCUGAUGUCCUUCCUGAUCCCUUGGAGAGUUCUGUAUAUGAGUCUUUUGUAUUCUACCUCUGGUAAUUCCAGGAAGUUUUCUUCAUCUGGAAGAUUUCUUGAUUAUUUGUUUUGGGAACUUGCUGAAGCCAUCAUGGUCUGCCUCUUUAUGUGAUUUGAUAUUGACUGUUGUCUCUGAGCCAUCCAUAAGUUCUUGUAUUUAUUUCAUGUUUGCUUACUGUGUCCUAGGUCCUUGUUUUGUUUUGAUAUGCCCAAAUAGGCUGCUCGAGUGAGCUAAUUUGAUUACUAGUGCCUUUAAAGCCCUAAUGUCCUGUCGCCAAAUGGUUAGAUCUUUUACUAGGAAUGUGAGUCCAGGAGUUCAUUUAGUUUUCUUGUAUUGAUUCAGCUCAGAUGUCCAGGUAGUCGGUUACCAAGUGUGUGGUGCAGGCUCUCGCCUACAAUCCUAGAUGAGUAGGGGUGAUUGGUGUAGUCACAGGUAUCUGGGUGCAGUAGGGGUAUAGACACUGAACAAGGCAGGGGGCUGACAACCAUCCCCGAGAAUCUGUGAGGAAAGUGUGUUCCCUAGAACGGAUAGGUGGGUGGGUUUUGCACCUGGACUGUGAGCAUCCAGUGGUGUUGGUUGUAAGGAUUAGGAUGCACCACUUAUUCCAGACCCCUGUCGCAGGUAGCUAGGUGGCGUGGGUGGAGCCAGCAUUUCACAGGCCCCUGAUGUGGGUAGGCGAGGACCCUGCUUAAUAGGCAGAACGGUGUCAAAUGUCAUGAACCUGCCUGUCCGGUAUAUAGCUGAAACAGUUGAAGUUAAACUUCAGGUAUAUACCCAGCUGUACUGUGCUAAUGAGGGCCUACACUGUUGAAAUGGGCCCACAAAGGCCUAUGCAGGGGUGGAGGCAUUCAGUGUCCGUGGACCCUUAUGCUUGUGCCUAGGCAAAGGAGCUCUUUCUGCCCUGAGUUCGUGGCUUGGGGGAGACAGCAGAUUAUUUUUUCCAUGUUUGUUAAUUUAUUUCCUCUCCAAGGCUGGGAGAAUGGCUCAGGGCACGUGACGGGUUCUACUUCCGGCCCAGAGGUUGCAGCCAGCUGGGACUCAGUGCAGAGCAGGAAGGGGGUAGGAGUUUGCUGUGAGAAAGGAGAGGAAUCUAAGAGAGUGAAUCCAUCUGGUACCUAUGCUGAAGUGCUCUUGAGGCCACUGGUAUGAACAUGCUAACGUUAGGUUUCCAUCUACUGGUAUCCUUUGGGUAUUGACAUACAGUGAGCUAGUGCCCUGUGGCACGGAGCCCAAGGCUGAAUCCCAGUCCGUUACAUGGCACAGUGGAUGGGUGAUUUUCUUGGCAGAGCUCAGUGGGAAGAUGGCCCCCACGUUCCAGACCAGCCCCUGGCUGCCCCAUCAUGCUCAGGGGUAGGUACCAAAGAUGAGUGGCUGAAAGAAUAAUGUCUCCUAGCGCCGGAGGCAUCAAGAUCUCAGCUUGGCAGGAUAAUGGAAUUCCUGCCCUCUCAUUCCCCACACACCUGUAGGUGACCCCUAGAAUUCAUCCCAUACCUUAAGUAGUAAGUGCCCCGGAAGAGCUCCUGCUGCCUUCCUCCUUACAUUAAGGCCUGGGGGAAGCUGGGAUGGCCCAGCAUCUGAUUUGGGUUCCAGAACCCAUCUGGAGGUCCUUGUGAUUGGUUGGGGCCCUGCCACACAUUCUAGCCUUGGCAGGCCUUUCCCUGGGGUGCUGGGUUCUGUCUAUCUAGAUAAUGACUGAGGUCCAAUCCGGUAAAACCUAUAGACACACAGUGCUGCCACCUGCCUGAUUAUUACUAUUGCCACCUGCCUGGUGAUUACUAUUGCCACCUGCCUGAUGAUUAGUGUUGCUGCUUCCUCUGUGGCUUUCCUAAGGGAUUGCCACCUGAAAUAGCCAGCUUGCGUUUGUCCUGUUUCUCUGAUCUUUGUCACUUGGACUGCCAUUCACCCCCUUUGGGUAUAACUCUGUGGCCCUCCAAAUUCUGAGUCUACUUGGUCCGGGCUCAUUGCCCUUUUCUUGCUUACCUGGCGUUGAGUCUUGGGACCACCAACCCCCCACUUGAACUGUAAAGCCUUUGCUGAAAAUAGAGGAAGUAGUCCACCUUAUUGCAUAGUCCACUCACACCUGCAUGGGAAGCUGGGACAUCUCAGAGUGCCCUUGGGGUGAAGUCACACUUUGUGCCUCCCCUGCCAGGAAGCCUUAAGGUCAGGAGCCACAAGGGAUUUGCCAGGGUCCUGUAAGAUAGAAUGCUGUGUGCUGCCAAACAGCCAACUGUCCAGAUUUGUUAGCAAAAGCUGGCUGCUCUAACUUUUUGACAAUUUUCUCUUCCCUCAGUAGUCCACUGGGAAAUAAGAGUCUCCAGGGUGAAUUGUCAUUGGGAGGAAUUUGGAGCUGCCGUACAUCAUUGAUACGUGGCUGAGGAGAAGCCAGCAAAAGGAUUACCACCAUUUCCCCAAAAGCUGAUCAUUUUCCAAAUACCUUCCACCUUCCUCACAGCACAUUGUGGUCAUUAAAGAAACACUGUCAUUUAUCUUUUUUUUUUUUUUUUGAUUUAUUUUGUUGUUGUUGAGAAUAUACGCAGCAGAACAUACACCAAUUCAACAGUUUCUACACGUACCAUUUAGUGACACUGAUUACAUUCUUUGAGUUGUGCAACCAUUCUCACCCUCCUUUUCUGAGUUGUUCCUUCCCCAUUAACGUAAAUUCACUGUCCCCUAAGGUUCCUGUCUAAUCUUUCAAGUUACUGUUGACAGUGUGAUCCCAUAUAGAUAGUUCUCUGCACAUUCUUUGCAAAGACCUGGAGUUAGAAAACCAAAAGGGAAAACCGUUUUUGGUAUUUCUCAAGCUGAAAGAACUGAAGAAAAAAUUCAAGCCUCAAGUUACUAUAUUAAAGGACUCUAUGGGCAAAAUGGAAACCCUGGUGGUGUAGUGGUUCAGAGCUACGGCUGCUAACCAAAAGGUAGGAAGUUCGAAUCUACCAGGCGCUCCUUGGAAACCAUAUGGGGCAGUUCUACUCUGUCCUAUAGGGUCGCUAUGAGUCGGAAUCGACUCAACAGCAAUGGGUAGGUAUGGGUAAAAUGUUGUGUCAUCUGCAUAAGGCAAGUUGUUAAUGAGUCUUCCUCCAAUGCUGAUGCCCCAUUCUUCAUAUAGUCCAGCUUCUUGGAUUAUUUGCUCAGCAUAUACAGAUUGAAUAGGUACGGUGAAAGGAUACAACCCCGACACACACCUUUCCUGACUUUAAACCACUCAGUAUACCCUCGGUCUGAGGACUUGAAGCACUUACUGAUGAAGAUCAAAGACCACAGCCUUCAGUAUGGAUUACACUUGAACAUAAAGAAAACACAAAUCCUCACAACUGGACCAAUAAACAACAUCAUGAUAAAUGGAGAAAAGAUUGAAGUUGUCAAGGAUUUCAUUUUACUCAACACCCAUGGCAGCAGCAGUCAAGAAAUCAAAGGACACAUUGCAUUGGAGAAAUCUGCUGCAAAAGGCCUCUUUAAAGUGCUGAAAACAAAGAUGUCACCUCAAGGACUAAGGGUCUUUGUUGUAAAGAGGGCUCAACGGAAGCGUCUGUCUAUUCUGCCACCUGGGCUCCGCCUCCUCGAUUCACUUUCAUAUCUCAAAAGUGAUUGAUUCAAGAUACAAGCUAAUCUUGUAGAUUGAGUCGUGCCUCAUUAACAUAACUGCCUCUGACCCUGCCUCGUUAACAUCAUAGAGGUAAGAUUUCUAGCACAUAGGCAAAUCCCAUCAGAUGACAGAAUGGUGGAACAAUCACACAAUACUGUGAAUUAAGGCCUAGCCAAGUUGGCACACAUUUUUUGGGGACACAAUCCAAUCCAUAACAGGUCCAUGAAGACGGCAACGUGGCACUGGGCAGAGACAAUUGCAGGAUCAUGGGAGCCUUGAGUGAAGUGUUGUGAGGAAUUCUUUUACCAAAGUGGUCAGUCAACCACAAUGUAUUAGUUGAGCCUCUACUGUUUCUCCUAAUUGAGUGUCUAUUGUGCCAGACACAUUGGUUGGCACAACGUCUAUUGACUCAGAUCCCUGAGAUGUCAAUUUAGAGCUUGCGUGGAAGACCCUCACCUUCAUGUUGGGAAAUGUUCACUGCCUUGAGGAGAGCGCUGAAGGGCGGGCAUCCUCCAGAAGGGGGUGAGGGUCCAACUAGGGAGGGCCUCUAUCCCUGUUGCUCUUUGGGAGAGGAGGACUCCUGAGUGUUCUCUGCCUCAGACUUACUGGAGACAAGGCCAUCGAAUGUUAGUGCUCAUUUGGGGGACCCUUCACUGUAUGAAUGGGGAGAGUGAGCCUGAGGGAGGAGAAAGCACUUCCCCAGGCCACACAGCAAGCUGGUGACACAGCCAGGCCUAGCACUCAGAUCUCCUGACAAUAGCUGUGGAAGAGAAGAAAGGAGAAGAGAAGGCAUAAAGGUUGUUUGAUGAAGAGAAGAUGUCUGAAUUCCUCUUGCAUGUUGUUUAUGGGCCAUUUGAUGAGUUGUCGGCCCAAAGUUAGGAAGCAUCCUCUCUCUCUCUCUUUUUUUACAUCUAGACAGAAAGGAGAGAAAAAUAAGAGUCUAGAAAAUAAGGAGAAAUGAAAUAGAAAACAUUAUUUAUAAGAGCCCCUUACCGCUGAAUCACAAAAUUGAAAAUGAUUGGUAUAAAUGGCUUUCAUUGAAUAAGGGCAAAGUAGCUCUCGUAUGGACUUUUCUAUUGGCAAAAAAACCACUGUGCUUGGUCCAAGCACUUUGGCCAAAGAACAUUUGCCCUUGUUAAAACAAAGGCAUGCUUGGCUUGCUGUAGGACCAGAUUUCCUUAUUUCUCCCCUGUAUUUGCCCUGGAACGUGGCCAUCUCCCCUGAGCGUUCUAAUUGAAUUGAUCUCUAAGACCAUGGCGUAUAUGUUCAUUUGUUUUAACUUGACUCUGAUACCUUCCUCCGUUAAACUUUAAAUGAAGUUGUAAUUAUUUUUAAAAAUAUAAAUUGCAAAGUGUGCUGGCAAUUCAUAAUUACUUCGCAAUGCAUCAGGAUGAGCCAGUAAAGGUGGUCCUCUUUUCUUUUCCCCUUUGCGUUCUGUAUUGCUGCCUUGUGUGUUUCUCAUUUAGGACUUGUUAGUGUAAAUCUCCCUCAUACAUCAUUGGAAGCGUUAGGAUUUCUAGAGGAGGAAUGUCAUCUGCCUUGGGCUCUCUAAGAGAGAGUGGAUGAUGUCGGGUUUUCUACCUCUCAUUGCUACUGUCCUUAGUGGAAAGGCAUUUCUCUAAUAAGCUAUCAUAUUUGGAAAAGCAGGGUUCUGCUAGCGCUGUAUAUUAUACCAAUGUGGGGCGUUUUUCUGCACUUUCUGUGGCAUCCCCAGGCUCCUCCCCAGGCUCAGCCUCGUGGCAAUGGAUCUUUCGUGGGCAGGAGAAGGCAGUUAACCUCUGCUCUGCUCCUUUCCUUUGGAGCCCAGCACGUAAAGAGUCUUUUCUUUUAUACUCUCUCAGAGAUCCGCAAACAGUAUUUUUAAUGGAUUAUUAUUAAUGGAUGUUUGCAGCUGUUUCUUCUCAUUUUGAGUCGUGCCACAUCAGAAAAUGAAGGUCCAGAAGGCUUGAUUCCAUCCAUGUCAUUAAGGUUGACUCUAUUUUGAGGAGGCGGCUCUUCCCUAGUCAUCUUUUGAGUGCCUUGCAACCUCGGGGGCUCAUCUUCCAGCAUUACAUCAGACAAUGUUCCGCUGCUAUUUAUAAGGUUUUCACUGGCUAAUGCUUUUUAGAAUUAGACUGCCAGGCCCUUCUUCCUGGUCUGUCUUAGUCUGGAAGCUCAGCUGAAACCUGUCCUCCAUGGGUGACCCUGCUGGUAUCUCAAUACCAGUGGCAUAGCUUCCAGCAUCACAGCAACACGCAAGCCCCCACAGUACGACAAACUGACAGAUACGAGGGAGUCUCGUUUACUAGCUCUAUUUUCUUUCUCUGCUAUUCCUCUAAGAAUGUCAGACUAAAUUACAUCAGAUGCUUCUGUCUUGAUAAGAUAUGAUACCUCUGCUCCAUCCUCUCUCACCAUUCAGCUUGUCCUCCUGUCUUGAACAGGAAGGAGCUUCGUUUGGUAUGAUUUGUGUUUGAAGAAGCCGUAUUGACUACUGUUUAUCACUCGGGUUUUCCCUAGGUACUCAUAAAUGACUGCCUUAAUAACUGUCCUCACAGCUUACCAGAUAUUGAAAUUAAAUUUGUGACUUUAAUUCCCUGAGUUCUCUGAGGACUUUUUUUUUUUUUAUGAAAAACGGAACAAGGCGGUUUCAUGACUCAUCACCACUCUUACCGUAAUAGAGCAGUGUGAAAAAGAAGAACAAAUCUGCAGGGAAACCAAUUUCAGUUUUUGCCUUCCAAAUGAUUAUUAUAAAAAUUAGCAAAUAAAAUUAUUUUUGAAAUAUGAAAAGACAUCCUGUUAAAACUAUUUAUUGCACUCAUACAUAUUUUUAAGUGUCAUGCAGAUGCCUAGAAAAUGUUAAUCCACUAGUUUAUAGUCCUUACUUUAUGCUGGCAACUGGAAAUUGAGUCUUUUUAUAUUCGGAUUGUUGCACAGUUGAAAAACAGCUGAAUAAUGGCACUUUUGAAAAGGUUAUUUUCUAAGUACUGUCGGUGGGCCAUAUGCUAAGGUACUCUUUCAGGUUGCUGAGGCAACCCGCUUGCAAUUGCUGUUCAUAUGUCCAGCUCCCCAAUAAUGCACUGACCUGAGACCCUCACCGAAUGCAGUACAGGUGCACUGUCGGUGGACUGUAGGUGGGCUAUACCUACCUCUCCGUCUUUGGAAAUGACUGGCAAGAGAUCAAUGAGCGUUUGAUAGCAGUCAGUAGAAUGCCUUGAAAGAGACGGAUGCAUAGAGCAUUCACUGAACAACACCAAGAGCUUUGGUGGGGUUUAGGUUUCUAAAGUUGCCUAGCCAAGAGUCUGUGUAUUACGGAAGCUAAGAAUGUGUGGGCCAGCCAACUAUCCAUCAGUCAUGGUAGAGGAGUAAUCAGUUUUCCAUCGCCUGAAGCAGUUUGGAUCCAGCGAGCAACAUGCUGAUGCUGCAGUCCCUUUCCUUGAUGUUUCAUUGGAAAGUGGUAAGGCGUCUUUCCUUUCUGAGCGGGUACCUCCAUCCCCUUUCCAAUGGUUUUGUCUAGAGGCAAACGAUGUUUAAGAGUGCUUUUGUCAUGUGCUCUUUUCCAUAGGUGUGGCAGAUACUCUGGAAGCCGUAUCAUGAUGCCUUUUGCUUUAGGUGCGUGUCAUGACUAUAAUGCAUAGGUCUUCAACUUGUUACUGUGAAUAUUUUUAUUUCAAAGCCUGCCAUCCAACGCCGUGCAGCAACCAAAUGAGCAAUGAGAAGAUACCACACUAUGUCAUCCCUGACUGGGAUGAUAUUUAAUAUGAGAGAACAUGCAUUAGUUACCUACCAACUUGACAGGAAUGGGUUCCAAAUCUGACGCGUCAUGGCCUCACUCCUCACCAAUGUGUUCCUGGAAGGGGGAGCCCAUGGUGAGCUUCCUUGCGUUUGUUAGUGGGAGGGAAGCCUUGGGAUUCAGGGGAAAGUAUCUGGAUGGCCUUUUAAGAAGACAUUCUAUUUUCAGUGGAGUAGAAAAGUCUGCACUUGAGCCUAUGGCAUGUUCUUUUCUCUGGAUGAACACAGUGACUGUCUUGCUCACAUUUUUCUGAUAUUUAUUCUGCAUAUCAGCCUCGUGAGACCCUCCCACUCUCCUGAAUGAAUUUCCAGGCAUUACCUGCAUGCUGUGUUCCUGCGGAGGGGUGGCAGUAACCUCUGCAAAGAUACACCGGAGCUUCUCUGGAGAAAGCGUAAGCGCAGUGAAGUGUGUGUGGCUGUACAAUUUAAUGGCUCUACAGGUAAUUUUUUUUUGAAGGCAGGAUCUGGCAUUUAAUCAAAUUGAGAGUCAUUAUGUAAAUUUAAUCACCUUGCAACACGCUAGUAAUUUUAUUGUCUCCUUUUUCUUUGUAAGUGCUUAGAUACAAGUUGAGCCUGGAAUUCCAGAGGUAGAGUACUGCUGAUUGGAGACGUGUUGGGGAAAAUGUAUUGUGCAAAUGAGAUAGAGCCUCUUUCUUGCUCUUGAUUGUGUCCUUGUAUGUAUACAGAUAUCCAACAAAGGGUUUUUAGAGUAAAGUGUGCCUGUUUAAGACUUUUUUUUUUAAUGGACUAUAUGAAAUCUGUUUGUGUCAAUUGGAAAACUUUUAUACCGAGUGAGAUGUGGUUCAAACUCACCCUAACCCAUGGGUCUUCACACCAGUGUAACCCCUUUGGGCUUGGCCUCUGGUCACUGGAAUGCUAUUUGAUGUUGGAUUACUUAUGCUGUAAAGUCUACUUAAAAUUGGACAUAGUAUUUCCAUUUGUCAACAGCAAUUUUUUAAAAUUGAACUUUAGAUAAAGGUUUACAGAACAAAGUAGUUUCUCAUCAAACAAUUAGUACACACAUUGUUAUAUGGUAUUGGUUAACAACCUCACAACAUGUCAACACUCUCCCUUCUUAACCCUGGGUUCCCUAUUACCAGCUUUCCUGUUCCCUCCUACUUUCCAGUCCCUGCCUCAGGGCUGGUGCGCCCCUUUCGUCUUGUUUUGUUCCAUGGUCAUGUUCAAUCUUUGGCUGAAGAGUGAACCUCAUGACCUCAUUACUGAGCUGGAAGGGUGUCUAGGGGCCAUACUCUCAGGGUUUCUCCAGCCUCUGUCAGGCCAGCAAGUCUAGUCUUUCUUUUUGAGUUAGAAUUUUGUUCUACAUUUUUCUCUAGCCCUGUCCGGGACCCUGUAUUGUGAUCCCUGUCAGAGCAGUCAGUGGUGGGAGCCAGGCACCAUCUGGUUGUACUGGACUCAGUCUGGUGCAGGCCGUGGUAGAUGUGGUCCAUUAGUCCUUUGGACUAAUCUUUCCCUUGUGUCUUUAGUUUUCUUCAUUCUCCCUUGCUUCCGAAGGGGUUAGACCAGUGGAGUGUCUUAAAUGGCCACUUACAGGCUUUUAAGACCCCAGACACUACUCACCAAAGUAAAAUGUAGAACAUUUUCUUUAUAAACUAUGUUACGCCAAUUGAGCUAGAUGUUCCCCACGACCAAUAAUUUGGUCCAUGGGGGAAUUUUGAUGUGUCUGUAGAGCUUCCAUGACCUUGCCUUGUACAAGUUGUGCUGCCUUCCCCAGUACUGUCUUACUCUUCACCAAAGCUACCACAUAUCUAUCGUCUAUUUAGUGUUUUUCCAUCCCUACCCCUCCCCUCCCUCAUAACCAUCAAAGAUUGUUUCUUUUUGUGUGUGAACCUUUUCAUGAGUUUCUAUAGUUGUGGUCUCAUACAAUAUUUGUCCUUUCAUGAUUGCCCUAUUUUACUCAGCAUAAUGCCCUCGAGAUUCAUCCAUAUUAUAAGAUGCUUCACAGAUUCAUCUUUGUUCUUUAUUGCUGGGUAAUACUCCCUUGUGUGUAUGUAUCACCGUUUGUUUAUCCAUUCAUCUGUUGGUGGACAUCUAGGUUGUUUCCAUCUUUUUGCUAUUGUGAACAGUGCUGCAGUGAACAUGAAUGUGCAUAUGUCUAUUCAUGUGAUGACUCAUUUCUCUAGGAUAUAUUCCUAGGAGUGGGAUUGUUAAAUCAUAUGGUAUUUAUAUUUCUAGCUUUUUAAGGAAGUGCCAUAUCGAUUUCCAAAGUGGUUGUACCAUUUUGCAUUCCCACCGGCAGUGCAUAAGAGCUCCAAUCACCCCGCAGCCUCUUGAACAUUUAUUAUUUUCUGUUUCUUUGUUUUUUUUUUAUUCGUGCCAGUAAUGGCGGGGUGACAUAGUAUCUCAUUGUGGUUUUGAUUUGCAUUCCAGAGCAUUUCCUCAUGUGUCUGUUAGCCACUUGAAUGUCUUCUUUGGUGAAGUGUCUGUUCAUUUCCUUUGCCCAUUUUUUAAUUGGAUUUUUGUCUUUUUGUUGUAGAAGUGUUGGAUUUUCUUGUAGAUUUAGAGAUUACAACUUUGUCAGAUUUGUAAUAGCCAAAUUUUUUUUCCCAGUCUGUAGGUUCUCUUUAUACUCUUUUAGUGAAGUCUUUUGAUGAGUAUAAGUGUUUAAUUUUUGGAAGAUUCCAGUUACCUAGCUUAUCUUCUGGAGUUUGUUUGUUUGUAUGGUUUGUAUCCUUUUAAUGCCAUGUAUUAGGGCCUCUAGUGUUGAUCCUAAUUUUUUCUUCUAUGAUCUUUAUAGUUUUAUAUUUAGGUCUUUGAUCCAUUUUGAGUUAGUUUUUGUGUAUGGUGUGAGGUAUAGGUCCUGUUUCAUUUUUUUGCAGAUGGACAUCCAGUUUUGCCAGCACCAUUUGUUAAAAAGACAGUCUUUUCCUCAUUUUAUGGACUUUGGGCCCUUGUCAAAGGUCAAGUGACCUUGGCUUCACUAAGGAUGACAUUCAGGUAGCUAACAGAUACAUGAGGAAAUUCUUACGACCAUUAACCAUUAGAGAAAUUCAAAACUACAAUGAGAUUCCAUCUCACUCCAACAAGGCUGGCAUUAAUCCAAAAAACACAAAAUCAUAAGUGUUGGAGAGGUUGUGGAGAGACUGGAACACUUAUACAUUGCUGGUGGGAAUGUAAAAUGGCAUUGGAAUAGAAUUGGAAAUAGAUUUGGCAGUUCCUUAAAAAGCUAGAAAUAGAACUAUCAUACGAUCCAGCAAUCCUGCUCCUUGGAAUAUAUCCUAGAGAAAUAAGAGCCUUUACACGAACAGACAUAUGCACACCCAUGUUCAUUGCAGCAGUGUUUACAAUAGCAAAAAGAUGGAAGCAACCAAAGUGCCCAUCAACGGAUGAAUGGAUAAAUUAUGGUAUAUUCACACAAUGGAAUACUAUACAUCAAUAAAGAACAAUGAUGAAUCCGGGAAACAUUUCGUAACAUGGAAGAAUCUGGAAGACAUCAUGCUGAGUGAAAUUAGUCAGUUGCAAAAUGACAAAUAUUGUAUGAGCCCACUAUUAUAAGAACUCAAGAAAUAGUUUAAACACAGAAGAAAAUAUUCUCUGAUGGUUACGAGAGUGGGGUGGGAGGGAGGAAGAGGAGUAUUCACUAAUUAGAUAGUAGAUAGGAACUACUUUAGGUGAAGGGAAAGAUAGCACAUAAUACAGGGGAGGUCAGCACAACUGGACUAAACCAAAAGCAAAGAAGUUUCCUGAAUAAACUGAACGCUUCAAAGGCCAGCGUAGCAGGGGCGGGGGUUUGGGGACCAUGGUUUUGGGGGACAUCUGGGUCAACUGGCAUAAUAAAAUCUAUUAAGAAAUCAUUCUGUGUUCCACUUUGGAAAAUGGUGUCUGGGGUCUUAAACACUAGCAAGUGGCCAUCUAAGAUGCAUCAAUUGGUCUCGACCCACCUGGAGAAGAAGAGAAUGAAGAACACCAAAGACUCAAGAUAAUUAUCAGCCCACGAGACAGAAAGGGUCACAUAAACCGGAGACUAUAUCAGCCUGAGAUCAGAAGAACUAGGUAGUGCCCGGCUACAAUCAAGGACUGCCCUGACAGGGAACACAACAGAGAACCACUGAGGGAGCAGGAGAGCAGUGGGAUGCAGACCUCAAAUUCUUGUCAAAAGACCAGACUUAAUGGUCUGACUGAGACUAGAGGGACCCCAGAGGUCAUGGUCCCCAGAACUUCUGUUAGCCCAAGACAGGAACCAUUCCCAAAGCCAACUCUUCAGACAGGGAUUGGACUGGACUAUAAGAUAGAAAAUGAUACUGGUGAGGAGUGAGCUUCUUGGAUCAAGUAGACACAUGAGACUAUGUGGGCAACUCCUGUCUAGGGGGGAGAUGUGAAGGCAGAAGGGGACAGAAGCUGGCUGAAUGGACACGAAAAUAGAGGGUGGGUCAGGCGCACCAUAGCCCUCAAAGUGACAUCUUUGCUUUUUAACCCUUUAAAGAGGUCUUUUGUAGCAGAUUUGCCCAAUGCACUAUGUUGUUUGACUUCUUGACUGCUGCUUCCAUAGAUGUUGGUUGUGGAUCCAAGUACAAUGAAAUACUUGACAAGUUCAGUCUUUCCUCCGUUCAUCGUGAUGUUGCUUAUUGGUCCAGUUGUGAGGAUUUUUCUUUUCUUUAUGUUGAAGUGUAAUCCAUACUGAAGGCUGUAGUCUUUGAUCUUCAUCAGUAAGUGCUUCAAGUCCUCUUUGCUUUCAGGAAGCAAGGUUGUGUCAUCUUUGUAUCAUAGGUUGUUAAUGAGUCUUCCUGCAGUCCUGAUGCUGCAUUCUUCUUCUUCAUAUAGUCCAGCUUCCCAGAUUAUUUGCUCAGCAUGCAGAUUGAGUAGGUAUGGUGAAAGGAUACAACCCUGACUCACACAUUUCCUGACUCUAAACCAUGCAGUAACCCAUUGUUCUGUUUGAAUUGUUCUUGGUCUAUGUACAGGUUCCUCAUGAGUACAAUUAAGUGCUUUGGAAUUCCCAUUCUUCACAGUGUUAUCCGUAGUUUAUGAUCCACACAGUCGAAUGUCUUUGCAUAGUCAAUAUAACACAGGUAAACAUCUUUCUGGUGUUCUCUGCUUUUAGCUAAAUUCCAUCUGAUAUCACCAAUGGUAUCCCUUGUUCUGUGUCCUCUUCUGGAUCCAGCUUGAAUUUCUGACAGUUCCCUGUAGAUAUACUCUACAACCACUUUUGAAUGAUCUUCAGCAAAAUUUUAUUUGUGUGUGAUAUUAAUGAUAUUGUUCAAUAAUUUUUGCAUUCUUUUCGAUCACCUAUCUUUGGAAUGGGCACCAGUAUGGAUCUAUUCUAGUUGGUGGGCCAGAUAGCUCUGUUCCAAAUUUCUUGGCAUCGAUGUGUGAGUGCUUCCAGUGCUGCAUCCUUUUGUUGAAACAUCUCAGUUGGUAUUCUGUCAAUUCCUGGAGCCUUGAUUUUUGCCAGUGCCUUCAGUGCAGCUUGGACUUCUUCCUUCAAUACCACUGGUUCUUGAUCACAUGCAACCUCCUGAAAUGGUUUAACGUCGACCAAUUCUUUUUGGUACAGUGACUCCAUGUAUUCCUUCUAUCUUCUUUUGAUGCUUCCUGCGUCAUUCAAUAUUUUGCCCACAGAAUCCUUCACUAUUCCAACUCAAGGCUUUAAUUUUUUUCUUUAGUUCUUUCAGCUUGAGAUAUGAUGAGUGUGUUCUUCCCUUUUGGCUUUCUAACUCCAGGUCUUUGCAUGUGUCAUUAUAAUACUUUAUUUUGUCUUCUUGAGUCACCCUUUGAAAUCUUAUGCUCAGCUCUUUUACUUCAUCAUUUGCUUUAGCUACUCUAUGUUCAAGAGCAAAUUUCAGAGUCUCCUCGACAUCGAUUUUGAUCUUUUUCUUUCUUUCCUGUCGUUUUAAUGACCUUUUUCUUUCUUCAUAUAUGAUAUCCUUGAUAUCCCACAACUCGUCUGGUCUUUGGUCAUUAGUGUUCAAUGCAUCAAAUCUAUUCUUGAGAUGGUCUCCGAAUUCAGGUGGGAUAUGCUCAAGGUUGUAUUUUGUCUCUCGUGAACUUGAUUUAAUUUUCUUCAGCUUCAACUUGAAGGUGCAUAUAAGGAAUUGAUGGUUUAUUCUGCAGUCGUCCUCUGUCCGUAUUCUGACAGAUGAUACUGAGUUUCUCCAUAGUCCCUUUCCACAGACAUAGUUGAUUUGAUUCCUGUGUAUUCCAUCCGGUAAAGUCCAUGUGUAUAGUCACCAUUUAUGUUGUUGAAAAAAAAGUAUUUGCAAUGAAUAAGUCAUUGGUCUUGGAAAAUUCUGUUAUACUAUCUUUAGAGUCGUUUCUAUCACCAAGGUCAUAUUUUUCAACUACCAAUCCUUCUUUGUUUCCAACUUUUGCAUUCCAAUCGCCAGUAAUAUCAGUGCAUCUUGAUUGUGUGUUUGAUCAAUUUCAGACUUCAGAAGUUGGUAAAAACCUUCAAUUUCUUCAUCUUUGGCAUUAGUGGUUGGUACAUAAACUUGAAUAAUAGUUGUAUGAACUGGUCCUCCUUGUAGGUAUAUGGAUAUUAUCCUAUCACUGACAGCGUUGUACUUCAGGAUAGAUCUUGAAAUCUUCUUUUUGAUGAUGAAUGUGACGCCAUACCUCUUCAAUUUGUCCUUACUGGCAGAGUAGACCAUAUGAUUUUCUGAUUCAAAGUGGCCAACACCAAUCGAUUUCAGCCCACUAAUGCCUAGAAUGUUGAUAUUUUUGCAGUCCAUUUCAUUUUGAAGAAUUCCAUUUUUUCUGCAUUCAUACUUCGUACACUCUACAUUCUGAUUAUUAAUGCUUGUUUGCAGCUGUUUCUUCUCAUUUUGAGUCAUGCCACAUCAGCUAAUUAAGGUCCCAAAAAGCUUUACUCCAUCCAUGUCUUUAAGGUUGACUCUGUUUUGAGGAGAUGGCUCUUCCCCAGUCAUAUUUUGCGUGCCUUCCAACCUGAGGGGCUUAUCUUAUGGUACUAUGUCAGACAACAUUCCACUGCUACUCAUAAGGUUUUCACUGGCCAAUUUUUAAAAAAUGUUUUAUUUAUUUUUUACUGUGCUUUAGAUGAAGGUUUAUGGAGCAAAUUAGUUUCUCAUUAAACAAUUAAUACACAUAUUAUUUUGUGACAUUGGUUGUCAGCCCCAGUCUCCCAUUCUCAACCCUGAGUUCCCCAUUACCAGCUUUCCUGUUCCCUCCUGCCUUCUUGUCCUUGCCCCAGGGUUGGUUUGCCCAUUUAGUCUCAUUUUGUUUUAUGUGCCUGUCUAAUCUUUGGCUGAAGGAUGAACCUCAGCAGUGACUUCAGUACUGAGUUAAAAGGGUGUCCAGGGGCCAAACUCUUGGGGUUGGCCAAAUUUUUUAGAAGGAGCUUGCCAGGUCCAUCUUUCUAGUCUGUCUUAGUCUGGAAGCUCCACUGAAACCUGUCCACCAUGGGUGACCCUGCUGGUUUUUGAAAUACCAGUGGCAUAGCUUCCAGCAUAACAGCAACACACAAGCCCCCACAGUAUGACAAACUGACAGACAAGUGGUGGUCAACGUAAUUAAUGUCAGUAAAUUGUACACUUAAUAUGGUUAAAGAGGCAUUUCUUGAUAUAUGUAUAUUAUGAUAAUCAGAUUUUUUUAGAAAGGCAAUAUCUGGAGAUACAUACCUAUGAAAACAUACCUUUUGUCUUUUUUAAGCAAUCAUACACAGAAAUGAUACUACUGCAGAUUGUUAUCAUGGUGAUUAUUACAACUUGGUGAUGGCUUAUCUUAAUUGUAGGUUCAUCUCUUUGUAUGGAUGAACAUACCUCUGGAAGGGUGAAUGUACAACCUAAACCCAAUAUAAUGAAAGUAGAGUCACUAACAUUAGUGUGAAAAAUCUAAUUAAAAGUUAUAAUCGAGGUGGUCUGCUGAGUCAAAAAAAAAAAACUGUAGUUACAAACUUAGAUGUUCCUGAGUGUCAGUCUUCUUAAAUCACAUGUCUUAUGAUGAAUGCAACUACUCUGAAAGAAUGACAACAAACUGAACAGAGUGUACCUGACAAAGCAGAAUUAAUGAGCCAGUCAGAACAAUAAUUGAAAACAAGCUAGAAUAUCAUCGAAGAGCUAAAGGAGGAUGUUGGUAACGUGAAGCAGGAAUGGACAGUUACAAAGAAUUAUUCCAAAAUACUAAAAAUAUAAGACUUCAAAUAAAUACCUUGAUGGGGGGAUUAAUAACAGAAUGCAUACAUGUGAAGAAUGAAUUAAUAAACUGGAAUACCAGGUUGAAUAACUCUCUCCAAAGGCACUAGGAAGGGAUAAAGAAAUGGAAAAUAUGGGGGAAAAGGUAAUAGACAUGGAGGAUGGGAUGAGAGGUGUUAAUUCAGUAUAAUAAGGGCCUCAGAAGGAGAGGAAAAAAAAGUAUCAACACUCGCCCUUUCUUGACCUUAGGUUCCCCAUUACCAGCUUUCUUGUGCCCUCCUGGCUUCUUGUCCUUGCCCCUGGGUUGGCACAUCCAUUGGUCUUAUUUUGUUUUGUUUAUGGGCCUGUCUGUUCAUUCAAAAAAAAAAAAAACUGUGGUUACAACCUUAGAUGUUGCUGAGCAUCGGUCCUCUUAAAUCACAUGCUUUAUGAGGGGGUAAGUAAUUGAACAUAACAACGACUGUAAGGAUGGCGCAGGACGGGCCAGUGUUUCGUUCUGUUGUGCAUAGGGUCGCUAUGAGUCAGAACCGACUCGACAGCACCUAACAACAACAACAAAGUAUUUGAAGAAAUAAAGACCAAGUAUUUCUUAGUCUUAAAGGAGUAUGAAAGACCUUAGUUUGAAAGCAUUCACAAUUUACAAAACAGAAUAUGAAAGAUCAAAUCUAUAUCUGUUGUUGUUGUUGUUAGGUGCUGUCGAGUCGGUUCUGAAACAUAGCGACCCUAUGCACAACAGAACGAAACACUGCCCGGUCCUGGACCAUCCUUACAAUUGUUCUUAUGCUUGAGCUCAUUGUUGCAGCCACUGUGUCAAUCCACCUCGUUGAGGGUCUUCCUCUUUUCCGCUGACCCUGUACUCUGCCAAGCAUGAUGUCCUUCUCCAGGGACUCAUCCCUCCUGACAACAUGUCCAAAGUAUGUAAGACGCAGUCUUGCCUUGCCUUUAAGGAGCAUUCUGGCCACACUUCUUCCAAGACAGAUUUGUUCGUUCUUUUGGCAGUCCAUGGUAUAUUCAAUAUUCUUCACCAACACCACAAUUCAAAGGAGUCAACUCUUCUUCCGUCUUCCUUGUUCAUUGUCCAGCCUUCACACGCAUAUGAUGUGAUUGAAAAUACCAUGGAUUGGGUCAGGCGCACCUUACUCUUCAGGGUGACAUCCUUGCUCUUCAACAAUUUGGAGAGGUCCUUUGCAGCAGAUUUGCUCAAUGCAAUGCAUCUUUUGAUUUCUUGACUGCUGCUUCCAUGGGUGUUGAUUGUGGAUCCAAGUAAAAUGAAAUCCUUGACAACUUCAGUCUUUUCUCCCUUUAUCAUGAUGUUGCUCAUUGGUCCAUUUGUGAGGAUUUUCAUUUUCUUUAUGUUGAGGUGUAAUCCGUACUGAAGGCUGUGGUCUUUGAUCUUCAUUAGUAAGUGCUUCAAGUCUUCUUCACUUUCAGCAAGCAAGGUUGUGUCAUCUGCAUAAUGCAGGUUGUUAAUGAGUCUUCCUCCAACCCCGAUGCCCUGUUCUUCUUCGUAUAGUCCCCAGCUUCUUACAUUAUUUGUUCAGCAUACAGAUUAAAUAGGUAUGGUGAAAGAAUGCAACUUGACGCACACCUUUCCUGACGUUAAACCAAUCAGUAUCCCCUUGUUCUGUCCGAACAACUGCCUCUUGAUCCAUGUAAAGGUUCCUCAUGAGCACAAUUAAGCGUUCUGGAAUUCCCAUUCUUCGCAGUGUUAUCCAUAGUUUGUUAUGAUCCACACAGUGGAAUGCCUUUGCAUAAUCAAUAAAACACAGGUAAACAUCCUUCUGGUAUUCUCUGUUAUCAGCCAGGAUCCAUCUGACAUCAGCAAUGAUAUCCCUGGUUCCACGUCCUCUUCUGAAACCAGCCUGAAUUUCUGGCAGUUCCCUGUAGAUAUACUGCUGCCGCUGUUUUUGAAUGAUCGUCAGCAAAAUUUUGCUUGCAUGUGAUAUUAAUGAUAUUGUUCUAUAAUUUCCACGUUUGGUUGGAUCACCUUUCUUGGGAAUAGGCAUAAAUAUGGAUCUCUUCCAGUCAGUUGGCCAGGAAGCUGUCUUCCCUAUUUCUUGGCAUAGACGAGUGAGCGCCUCCAGCGCUGCAUCUGUUUGUUGAAACAUCUCAGUUGAUAUUCCAUCAAUUCCUGGAGCCUUGUUUUUUGCCAGUGCCUUCAGGUGAGCUUGGACUUCUUCCUUCAGUACCAUCAGUUCCUGAUCAUAUGCCACCUCUUGAAAUGGUUGAAUAUCAAUUAAUUCUUUUUGGUAUAAUGACUCUGUGUAUUCCUUCCAUCUUCUUUUGAUGCUUCCUGCGUCGUUUAAUAUUUUCCUCAUGGAAUCCUUCACUAUUGCAACUCGAGGCUUGAAUUUUUUCUUCAGUUCUUAAAGCUUGAGAAACGCCGAGCGUGUUCUUCCCUUUUGGUUUUCCAUCUCCAGCUCUUUGCACAUGUCAUUAUAAUACUUUACUUUGUCUUCUCGAGAUGCCCUUUGAAAUCUUCUGUUCAGUUCUUUUACUUCAUCAAUUCUUCCUUUUGCUUUAGC